rnacentral:misc_RNA from 1 species
GUCAGGCUUUGCCGGAGACGAAUCCCUAGACGAGGAGCGGGCGGUGGGGACGGUGGAGCAGCUGCCGUUGCAUGUGCGGCGGACGGGGUAGGAGAUCUUGCUGCAUGGAGAGGAGGAGCGACGGCGGGGGUCGUGGAGCCCGCACUUGCAGUUGCGGUGGUAGGGCCUCUGGUUGAUCUCGAGGUCGUCUGGGGCUGAGAUGGAGCUCACGAGGGGGCCGCGGAGGGUUCCGUCGGCUCCGGUGGCCAUUGGUGGAAGUUGGGGGUGGAUGUGAAAAGAUGGAAGAGUUGAAUAGGACGGAAUUGUGCAAUAACCAAACUUCCUUGAUAGUCU